UUGCCUCCCACAUCCCAAGGACGUGUGGGUGUGUAGGUUGAUUGGACUCCGCUGAAAACUGUCCCUG